rnacentral:rRNA from 1 species
UACGUAGGGUGCAAGCGUUGUCCGGAAUUAUUGGGCGUAAAGAGCUCGUAGGCGGUCUGUCGCGUCUGCUGUGAAAACUCGGGGCUUAACCCCGGGCCUGCAGUGGGUACGGGCAGACUAGAGUGCGGUAGGGGAGACUGGAAUUCCUGGUGUAGCGGUGAAAUGCGCAGAUAUCAGGAGGAACACCGGUGGCGAAGGCGGGUCUCUGGGCCGUAACUGACGCUGAGGAGCGAAAGCGUGGGGAGCGAUCGG